rnacentral:rRNA from 1 species
AUUGAACGCUGGCGGCAUGCCUUACACAUGCAAGUCGAACGGCAGCACGGGUGCUUGCACCUGGUGGCGAGUGGCGAACGGGUGAGUAAUACAUCGGAACAUGUCCUGUAGUGGGGGAUAGCCCGGCGAAAGCCGGAUUAAUACCGCAUACGAUCUACGGAUGAAAGCGGGGGACCUUCGGGCCUCGCGCUAUAGGGUUGGCCGAUGGCUGAUUGGCUAGUUGGUGGGGUAAAGGCCUACCAAGGCGACGAUCAGUAGCUGGUCUGAGAGGACGACCGGCCACACUGGGACUGAGACACGGCCCAGACUCCUACGGGAGGCAGCAGUGGGGAAUUUUGGACAAUGGGCGAAAGCCUGAUCCAGCAAUGCCGCGUGUGUGAAGAAGGCCUUCGGGUUGUAAAGCACUUUUGUCCGGAAAGAAAUCCUUGGCCCUAAUACGGUCGGGGGAUGACGGUACCGGAAGAAUAAGCACCGGCUAACUACGUG